rnacentral:snoRNA from 1 species
UUUUAUGAUGAAAAAACUUCUCACAGACCUGUUCCGAACCUUUUGGUCCUGCGGAUAACAGUUAUUGCCUAUUUUUCUGAUA